CAGUCGCCACGGUAAUACAGAGGGUGCGAGCGUUAAUCGGAUUUACUGGGCGUAAAGCGUGCGUAGGCGGCUUCUUAAGUCGGAUGUGAAAUCCCUGAGCUUAACUUAGGAAUUGCAUUCGAUACUGGGAAGCUAGAGUAUGGACGAGGAUGGUAGAAUUCCAGGUGUAGCGGUGAAAUGCGUAGAGAUCUGGAGGAAUACCGAUGGCGAAGGCAGCCAUCUGGCCUAAUACUGACGCUGAGGUACGAAAGCAUGGGGAGCAAACAGGAUUAGAGACCCGCGUAGUCCCUGUCUCUUAUAC
rnacentral:rRNA from 1 species